ensembl:lncRNA
AAGAUUUGAAGGUCCAAAAAUGUGUUUACCAAACCCGGCAGGUGUUUAAUUCCGCUCAACCUCAACCGGAGAUUUAAACAGGCAAUAUGUAAGACAGCUAUAAAUGCAUGGAUUGCGCAAUCGUAAAAUUGAUUUACACAUUCUUAAAAAGUUCAAAUGUCUCGUUUGUUAGCGUUUGUAAUUGCAGCACAAUUCAAAUAAAUUAUUUCAAAUAAAAGAACUUGUACUUACAACAGAAACGAUAUACUCCGCGCUUGAAACAACAGCUGACUUCUGUGGAAUUAACUACUGUCUUCACAUCGCAGCCGGGGCGCCUCCAGCAAGUCACCCUCUUAACUUUGUCAUUGGUUACAUGUCAUCGUUCUUCACGUUAGAUUCAAAUUGUGUUAGAACUAUACAGGCUGCAAUGAUAGAAAUUCAGGAUAAAACUUAACUAUUUAGUUCUGAUUAUUGUUGCCGUUUGACAACCAAAUAUAUCGAUACAUCCUGUCUGGUAGAACCGCCAUUCUCGUUAGUUUUCGCGGCUCAGCCAUGCAGCAGGGGCUAGCUCAAUUUGCGGCAUCGGCAGCUCGCAGUGGCAUUUCCGGUGGCAGGUUGAGAUGCCACGGCAUCUUCCCCGUUAGCAGUGGCAUUUCUGGUGGUAGGUUGAGUUAGCAGUGGCAUUUUUAGUGACAUGUUGAGUUAGCAGUGGCAUUUUUAGUGGCAUGUUGAGAUGCCACGGCAUCUUCCCCAUUAGCAGUGGCAUUUCUGGUGGUAGGUUGAGUUAGCAGUGGCAUUUGUAGUGGCAUGUUGAGUUAGCAGUGGCCUUUUUAGUGGCAUGUUGAGUUAGCAGUGGCCUUUUUAGUGGCAUGUUGAGUUAGCAGUGGCAUUUUUAGUGGCAGGUUGAGUUAACAGUGGCAUUUUAGGGGCAUGUUGAGAUUCCACGGCAUCUUCCCCGUUAGCAGUGGCAUUUUUAGUGGCAUGUUGAGUUAACAGUGGCAUUUUAGGGGCAUGUUGAGAUGCCACGGCAUCUUCCCCGUUAGCAGUGGCAUUUUUAGUGGCAUGUUGAGUUAACAGUGGCAUUUUAGGGGCAUGUUGAGAUGCCACGGCAUCUUCCCCGUUAGCAGUGGCAUUUUUAGUGGCAUGUUGAGUUAACAGUGGCAUUUUAGAGGCAUGUUGAGAUGCCACGGCAUCUUCCCUGUUAGCAGUGGCAUUUUUAGUGGCAUGUUGAUUAGUAGUGGCAUUUUUAGUGGCAUGUUGAGUUAGCAGUGGCAUUUUUAGUGGCAGGUUGAGUUAACAGUGGCAUUUUAGGGGCAUGUUGAGAUUCCACGGCAUCUUCCCCGUUAGCAGUGGCAUUUUUAGUGGCAUGUUGAGUUAACAGUGGCAUUUUAGGGGCAUGUUGAGAUGCCACGGCAUCUUCCCCGUUAGCAGUGGCAUUUUUAGUGGCAUGUUGAUUAGUAGUGGCAUUUUUAGUGGCAUGUUGAGUUAGCAGUGGCAUUUUCAGUGGCAUGUUGAGUUAGCAGUGGCAUUUUUAGUGGCAUGUUGAGUUAGCAGUGGCAUUUUUAGUGGCAUGUUGAGUUAGCAGUGGCAUUUUUAGUGGCAUGUUGAGUUAGCAGUGGCAUUUUUAGUGGCAUGUUGAGUUAGCAGUGGCAUUUUUAGUGGCAGGUUGAGUUAACAGUGGCAUUUUAGGGGCAUCUUCCCCGUUAGCAGUGGCAUUUUUAGUGGCAUGUUGAGUUAACAGUGGCAUUUUAGGGGCAUGUUGAGAUGCCACGGCAUCUUCCCCGUUAGCAGUGGCAUUUUUAGUGGCAUGUUGAGAUGCCACGGCAUCUUACCCAUUAGCAGUGGCAUUUCCGGUGGCAGGUUGAGUUAGCAGUGGCAUUUUUAGUGGCAUGUUGAGUUUGCAGUGGCAUUUUUAGUGGCAUGUUGAGUUAGCAGUGGCAUUUUUAGUGGCAUGUCACGGCAUCUUUUGCCGUUUAUAUGGGAUUUCUGGUGGCAGCCUGAGAUGCCACAAAUUUACUAGACCGAUUAUGGGGUAGAACGGUGGCAAACAAGGGCUGUGUCCGAAAUCACCCACUGCUCAACAUAUACAACCAAACCAGUAGCCUGUCGUAAUGUAGAGGAAAGAGCAUAUCCGACUGCAACUGCAGGUGUUUGUAGCAUUUGCUAGUGAGAUACCUUAUAGUUUAUAAUUGUUAACAUUUGCCAAUAUUACACUUGGAAGCAUUUCCAUGACCCUAUUUCUUCAUUUUUUU